rnacentral:rRNA from 1 species
CCUACGGGCGGCAGCAGUGGGGAAUAUUGGACAAUGGGGGCAACCCUGAUCCAGCCAUGUCGCGUGUGUGAAGAAGGCCCUCGGGUUGUAAAGCACUUUCAGUGAGGAAGAACGCCUGGUGGUUAAUACCCAUCAGGAAAGACAUCACUCACAGAAGAAGCACCGGCUAACUCCGUGCCAGCAGCCGCGGUAAUACGGAGGGUGCGAGCGUUAAUCGGAAUUACUGGGCGUAAAGCGCGCGUAGGUGGCUUGAUAAGCCGGUUGUGAAAGCCCCGGGCUCAACCUGGGAACGGCAUCCGGAACUGUCAAGCUAGAGUGCAGGAGAGGAAGGUAGAAUUCCCGGUGUAGCGGUGAAAUGCGUAGAGAUCGGGAGGAAUACCAGUGGCGAAGGCGGCCUUCUGGACUGACACUGACACUGAGGUGCGAAAGCGUGGGUAGCAAACAGGAUUAGAUACCCCUGUAGUC